UCUACCUGAUAGAAGGGGAUAACUACUGGAAACGGUAGCUAAUACCGUAUAAUGUCGUAAGACCAAAGAUGAGGGACCUUCAUAGGCCUCAUGCUAUCAAAUGAACCCAGAUGGGAUUAGCUAGUAGGUGGGGUAAUAGCUCACCUAGGCGACGAUCUCUAGCUGGUCUGAGAGGAUGACCAGCCACACUGGAACUGAGACACGGUCCAGACUCCUACGGGAGGCAGCAGUGGGGAAUAUUGCACAAUGGGGGAAACCCUGAUGCAGCUAUGCCGCGUGUGUGAAGAAGGCCUUCGGGUUGUAAAGCACUUUCAGCGGGGAAGAAGGCACUAGUGUAAAUAGCACUAUUGAUUGACGUUACCCGCAGAAGAAGCACCGGCUAACUCCGUGCCAGCAGCCGCGGUAAUACGGAGGGUGCAAGCGUUAAUCGGAAUUACUGGGCGUAAAGCGUACGUAGGCGGUUUGUUAAGUUAGAUGUGAAAUCCCCGGGCUUAACCUGGGAACUGCAUUUAAAACUAGCAAGCUAGAAGUCUCGUAA
rnacentral:rRNA from 1 species